rnacentral:rRNA from 1 species
UACGAAGGGGGCUAGCGUUGCUCGGAAUUACUGGGCGUAAAGGGCGCGUAGGCGGGUCGUUAAGUUGGGGGUGAAAGCCCAGGGCUCAACCCUGGAAUUGCCUUCAAUACUGGCGACCUUGAGUAUGGCAGAGGUGUGUGGAACUCCGAGUGUAGAGGUGAAAUUCGUAGAUAUUCGGAAGAACACCAGUGGCGAAGGCGACACACUGGGCCAUUACUGACGCUGAGGCGCGAAAAGCGUGGGGAGCAAACAGG